UCCUCCAUUCCGCACCUGGUGCACUGCCUACUCGGGAUAUCGGGAUAGUAGUGUAAGUUCCACACAUUCUAGCAUCACAAGGCCCUUAUUUACCGUGUUCAGCAGGCUGGAGCUGGAGGCUGGAGCUGGAGUGGUGUGAGAGAAAAACACUGUUACAUGGCUGGUGGCUGGAGGCUGGAACUGGAGUGGUGUGAGAGGGAAUUACUGUAGGGCUGGAGCCCUACCCACCAGCCGAACACGGUGAAUAUAUUUUGUUGUAACUAUCAACAUUUAGUACAGACAUUAUAACUAUCAAUAUGGUCAUUCUUUUUUAUUACAAUCUUUUCAUGCCUCAAUAACAGUGCAGCACAGAAACAUGUGUGUAAUAUUCAUGCCUCAAUAACCAUGCUAUUUGUUUCAUAUAUCUUCUUUCUGGUUAAUUCAUUCAUCCUUAUUGCAGUAUUUUUUUUGGCUCCUAACAUUACUUUCUUUUUGUUCAUUUUCCUUUUAAAAUAUAUAUUUCAUUAACUAUUUGUUGGUUGCACUUCCUUUCAUUAUUAGUAGGAUUGCAAAGAAAAUAUACAUAUAUAAUCACUGUUUUAAAUAGCGGGCUAUAGCGGUGCUAUAACAGUUUUCGCGGAGCUGCCGCUAUGAACACUACAGUACAAAAUAGUGGGCUAUAGCGGGCUGUAGCGGUGCUAAUAGCAUUUUGAGGGUCCUACCGCUAAAUCCUAUAGCCCGUUAUUUAAAACAUUUAUAUAUAAUGGUGUGUCCGCCCAUGCAUUAUGUCCUAAGUACAGGUGUUUCAUGCCAUUAGAACCCACCCAGCACCCUCCUUCCCUUAAAAAAGACAAGUGAGUGUAAUUGAUCCAUAAGGUAUCUAUUAAUAAAAUGGAUAUUACUGUCAUUUUUUUAGUUCACGCAUAAGGCCAUCAUGUGUGUUUGGUUCCACGGUAGUCUAUGUUUCCAAUCACAAAGGAGCCGAGAGAUUAUUCAUCAAUUAUUAUAAAAGGUCAACCAAACCAAUUCUAACGUUAUUACCAAGGGAAACUAUUGAACAAGGUCACCAGAUCCUUCUAAAUAGAAUAGCAUAAUAAAACAUGGGUCUUUUGGAGCGAAGAGGAAAAGGGUUAAUUUAGGUGAAAUGUUUAGUAUCAUAUAUGCCUAUAGUUCACUCAUAGCUUUUAACUUCAAGUUGACCUGUAAAACUUUUGGUUGCAUCCAAACUCCCGUUGGCUUGGGUUGUGUGAAUUAAUGCUUUUGCGUUAGGUUUGUCGAUUAACUCAUAUCCAUUGAUAGAUCACCUGCUAAUAGUAUAUCAAAUUUCAGUUUCAAACCGUACAGUUGUUUGUGGGCAUAUCCUCCGGCAAACUAGCAUCUGCUGACACAAAUUAAAGGUUUGUAUAUCCUGACCAAUUUUACUUGUAUUGCAGAGAAUAUAUAGGGAAACAUGGUAUAUAUUCCCCUAUUUUUAAAAUAAUGAUAGUUUGGUUGCAUUACAGACUCAUGGUAUUUCUUACAUGUAUAUUCCGGCGACCAAGAUUUUGCAUAAGGUUGUCAAAGAACUAGGUGGUACCGAACCAAUAUAUGAGAAUGUAUCAUGGCCUGAUUCACAACUAGAGCAUCAUGUCUCUUUCUAGAUUCUAGCUAAAGGCCACAGUGAGGGUAUGGUUGAUAUUGCUAUAUGUAGGUUGUCAAAUGAAGGAACUAGAGAAGACAAUGUCUAUGAAAAUAUAGCACGCGAUGCUCUAUAGUUUCUUCAGGAUGAACAUGGUAUUAAUGUUCUUGAUAAUAAUUGGUUUUUAGCUGAAGAACUAAGAUUGAGAUGCAUUCCCAUGGUUAAGAAUUUGAUUGAGAGUGAAAGCAUUUAUGAAUUUGUACAUACCAAGUGUUUCAUGGUGCUAGAUGGCAUAGAUUUUGCUUCUACCCUUUUCAUGAAUAAGGUGUAUGAAGUGGAAAAUGAACUGAAAAAAGGCCAUGUGCAUGCUAAUAUGGCAAUUGUUUUAAGAGCUUGCACUUGGGAUCUCAAAAGUAUAGGUCAGUCAUCAACUCAAGAAUUGCGCUCACAUUAUGGUUCAUAUCAUGCUACAAAAGGGAAUGAGAUCAAAAUUCAUCAAGCCCUAUGCUGAUUAUAUCAAUCUGAAACACAAGGUGGGCGCAGUCAACAUCAACAGUGGUCUAAAAAUCAUUUUAGAUCAAGUGGCAUCCAAGGCGGGUUUUCAAUUGCCUGUCCUUACAGUUGAUCAUGUGAUUGGUUGUGGGUACAUAGGAAAUGUUCAAUUAAAUCCCUCAGAAUGUGCAUCUAUUUCAAAUUAUGUCGCGUGCAGCAAUGUGCAAGGAAAACUGGUAUCUGGAAAAAUUUGAAGCUGCCAAUAGUGCCAUGUACCAGGCUAUUGGUUUCAUAUCAGAUACUUAUAGUCUUAGUAUCUUGGAUCCAAACUUUUAUGUAUUGAGUGACCUCAAAAAAGUUGAAGCUGCCAUCAAACGAGAGUUGCAUGUAUUAGCACAAAGGUCAUCUACGGUUGAACGGAUUGCACAUUGUGCUAUAAAUGAUGUCCAUAGCCUAGCUACCAAGUAUGAUGGGUCCAUUAGUGAGAAAGAUGCUGAGAUUAAGGGCGUGCUGAUUUCUAUGUGUAUUGAUCUGUCCAGACAUCUGGAUGCUGUGUACCAGCUUAUUGAUGUUGCAUGGAAGAACUGUAGGGUUUGAUUCUCUCAGUCCAAUGUAAAUUAUUAGUUGCCCA